UCCCUUGGGAAAUCCGACAGUUAACGUGUCGGGCGUCUAAGAGAUACUGGUAAUCUUGGAACCGGGAGAGGUGAGGGGUACUUCGGGGGUAGGAGUGAAAUCCUGUAAUCCUCGAGGGACCACCUGUGGCGAAGGCGCCUCACCAGAACGGCUUCGACAGUGAGGGACGAAAGCUGGGGGAGCAAACCGGAUUAGAUACCCGGGUAGUCCCAGCCGUAAACGAUGUGCGUUAGGUGUAUCGGUGACCACGAGUCACCGAGGUGCCGAAGGGAAACCGUGAAACGUACCGCCUGGGAAGUACGGUCGCAAGGCUGAAACUUAAAGGAAUUGGCGGGGAGCACCACAACAGGUGGAGCCUGCGGUUUAAUUGGACUCAACGCCGGAAAUCUCACCGGAUAAGACAGCAGAAUGAUUGCCGGGCUGAAGACUCUGCAUGACUAGCUGAGGAGAGGUGCAUGG
rnacentral:rRNA from 1 species